CCUACGGGUGGCAGCAGUGAGGAAUAUUGGUCAAUGGACGAGAGUCUGAACCAGCCAAGUAGCGUGAAGGAUGACUGCCCUAUGGGUUGUAAACUUCUUUUAUAUGGGAAUAAAAUGUUCCACGUGUGGGAUUUUGUAUGUACCAUAUGAAUAAGGAUCGGCUAACUCCGUGCCAGCAGCCGCGGUAAUACGGAGGAUCCGAGCGUUUUCCGGAUUUAUUGGGGUUAAAGGGAGCGUAGGUGGAUUGUUAAGUCAGUUGUGAAAGUUUGCGGCUCAACCGUAAAAUUGCAGUUGAAACUAGCAGUCUUGAGUACAGUAGAGGUAGGCGGAAUUCGUGGUGUAUCGGUGAAAUGCUUAGAUAUCACGAAGAACUCCGAUUGCGAAGGCAGUUCACUGGACUGCAACUGACACUGAGGCUCGAAAGUGUGGGUAUCAAACAGGAUUAGAUACCCGAGUAGUC
rnacentral:rRNA from 1 species